rnacentral:rRNA from 1 species
GAUGAACGCUGGCGGCGUGCUUAACACAUGCAAGUCGAGCGAACGGACGCGGCGUUUGCUUUUUUGUUGUUUGCGGCGGACGGGUGAGUCACACGUGUAUCACCUACCUAUAUUUCUGGGAUAAUUUCGGGAAACCGGAGCUAACCCCGUAUAAUAUUUUGAACCGCAUGGUUCAAAAGUGAAAGACGGUCUUGCUGUCACUUCUAGAUGCUUCCGCGCUGCAUUAACUAGUUGGUAAGGUACCGGCUUAUCACGGCAACGAUGCAUAGCCGACCUGAGAGGGGGAAGGGGCACAGAGAAGCUGAGACGCGGUACAGAGACCUACAGAAGGCAGCAGUAGGGAAGGGUGCGCAAAGGGCGAAAGCCUGAAGGAGGAACGGCACGUGGGUGAUGAAGGUCUUCGGAUCGUAAAACUGUGUUAGUAGGGAAAAACGUAUGUGUAAGUAACUGUGCACAAGUGAACGGAACCUAAUCAGAAAGACACGGCUAACUACGG